rnacentral:rRNA from 1 species
UCAAGGUAUGAAGGGCGUACGGUGGAUGCCUUGGCACUAGGAGCCGAUGAAGGACGCGACGAACAGCGAUAUGCUUCGGGGAGCAGUAAGUAUGCUUUGAUCCGAAGAUUUCCGAAUGGGGGAACCCACCAUCCGUAAUGGGAUGGGACAUGUUACAUGAAUACAUAGUGUAGCGUGAGGCAGACCCGGGGAACUGAAACAUCUAAGUACCCGGAGGAAGAGAAAGCAAAUGCGAUUCCCUGAGUAGCGGCGAGCGAAACGGGAACAGCCCAAACCGAAGAGCAUGCUCUUCGGGGUUGUAGGACACUCUAUACGGAGUCAAAAAGGAAGACAGUAGGUGAAGGACCUGGAAAGGUCGGCCGAAGAAGGUGACAGCCCUGUAGCUGAAACUGUUUUCCCUCCAGAGUGGAUCCUGAGUACGGCGGGACACGUGAAACCCCGUCGGAAUCCGGGAGGACCAUCUCCCAAGGCUAAAUACUCCCUAGUGACCGAUAGUGAACCAGUACCGUGAGGGAAAGGUGAAAAGCACCCCGGAAGGGGAGUGAAAUAGAUCCUGAAACCGUAUGCCUACAAGUAGUCAGAGCCCGUUAACGGGUGAUGGCGUGCCUUUUGUAGAAUGAACCGGCGAGUUACGAUAACGCGCGAGGUUAAGCCGAUGAGGCGGAGCCGUAGCGAAAGCGAGUCUGAACAGGGCGUUCAGUGCGUUGUCGUAGACCCGAAACCAGGUGAUCUACCCAUGUCCAGGAUGAAGGUCAGGUAACACUGACUGGAGGUCCGAACCCACGCACGUUGAAAAGUGCGGGGAUGAGGUGUGGGUAGCGGUGAAAUGCCAAUCGAACCUGGAGAUAGCUGGUUCUCCCCGAAAUAGCUUUAGGGCUAGCCUCGAGGUUGAGAGUUCUGGAGGUAGAGCACUGAUUGGACUAGGGGCCCCCACAGGGUUACCGAAUUCAGUUAAACUCCGAAUGCCAGCAACUUAUACUCGGGAGUCAGACUGCGAGUGAUAAGAUCCGUAGUCAAGAGGGAAACAGCCCAGACCGCCAGCUAAGGUCCCCAAGUGUAUGUUAAGUGGAAAAGGAUGUGGCGCUGCCUAGACAGCUAGGAUGUUGGCUUAGAAGCAGCCACCAUUCAAAGAGUGCGUAAUAGCUCACUAGUCGAGUGGCGCCGCGCCGAAAAUGUAACGGGGCUAAACAUACCACCGAAGCUGCGGAUUCCGUAAGGAAUGGUAGGGGAGCGUUCCAAACCGCUGUGAAGCUGUACCGGAAGGAGCAGUGGAGCGUUUGGAAGUGAGAAUGCCGGUGUGAGUAGCGAAAAGAGGGGUGAGAAUCCCCUCCGUCGAAAGCCCAAGGUUUCCUGAGGAAGGCUCGUCCGCUCAGGGUUAGUCUGGACCUAAGCCGAGGCCGAAAGGCGUAGGCGAUGGAUAACAGGUUGAUAUUCCUGUACCGCCGAUCCACCGUUUGAACAAUGGGGGGACGCAGGAGGAUAGUGACGCAUGCGGAUGGAAGUGCAUGUGCAAGUUUCAAGACCGUCUGAUUGGCAAAUCCGUCAGGCAUCACAGUCAAGGAACGACGCGGAGUCCCGUAGGGACGUAGGUCACGAUUUCACACUGCCAAGAAAAGCCUCUAGUGAGGGGGAAGGCGCCAGUACCGUAAACCGACACAGGUAGGCGAGAUGAGAAUUCUAAGACGCGCGGGAUAACUCUCGUUAAGGAACUCGGCAAAAUGGUCCCGUAACUUCGGGAGAAGGGACGCUCUACAUGAGUAGAGCCGCAGUGAAUAGGCCCAAACGACUGUUUAGCAAAAACACAGGUCUCUGCUAAAUCGCAAGAUGACGUAUAGGGGCUGACGCCUGCCCGGUGCUGGAAGGUUAAGGGGAUGGGUUAGCGCAAGCGAAGCUUUGAACCGAAGCCCCAGUAAACGGCGGCCGUAACUAUAACGGUCCUAAGGUAGCGAAAUUCCUUGUCGGGUAAGUUCCGACCCGCACGAAAGGCGUAACGAUUUGGGCACUGUCUCAACGAGAGACCCGGUGAAAUCAUAGUACCUGUGAAGAUGCAGGUUACCCGCGACAGGACGGAAAGACCCCAUGGAGCUUUACUACAGCCUGAUAUUGAGGCUUUGUGCAUGAUGUACAGGAUAGGCGGGAGACGUCGAGCCCGGAGCGCCAGCUUCGGAGGAGUCACCCUUGGGAUACCGCCCUUCAUGCAUAGAGUCUCUAACUCGCAGCCGUGAUCCGGCUGGAGGACCGUGUCAGGCGGGUAGUUUGACUGGGGCGGUCGCCUCCUAAACAGUAACGGAGGCGCCCAAAGGUUCCCUCAGAAUGGUUGGAAAUCAUUCGUAGAGCGCAAAGGCAGAAGGGAGCUUGACUGCGAGACCUACAAGUCGAGCAGGGACGAAAGUCGGGCUUAGUGAUCCGGUGGUUCCGCAUGGAAGGGCCAUCGCUCAACGGAUAAAAGCUACCCUGGGGAUAACAGGCUGAUCUCCCCCAAGAGUCCACAUCGACGGGGAGGUUUGGCACCUCGAUGUCGGCUCAUCGCAUCCUGGGGCUGGAGUAGGUCCCAAGGGUUGGGCUGUUCGCCCAUUAAAGCGGUACGCGAGCUGGGUUCAGAACGUCGUGAGACAGUUCGGUCCCUAUCCGUCGUGGGCGCAGGAAAUUUGAGGAGAGCUGUCCUUAGUACGAGAGGACCGGGAUGGACGCACCGCUGGUGUACCAGUUGUUCCGCCAGGAGCAUCGCUGGGUAGCUACGUGCGGACGGGAUAAAUGCUGAAAGCAUCUAAGCAUGAAGCCCCCUCCAAGAUGAGAUUUCCCUUUGAGUAAUCAAGAAAGACCCCUCAGAGACGAUGAGGUAGAUAGGUCACGGGUGGAAGCAUGGCGACAUGUGGAGCUGAGUGAUACUAAUCGGUCGAGGCCUUGUUCU